rnacentral:rRNA from 1 species
AUGCAGUCGAACGCGAAAAGUUCCCUUCGGGGGGCGAGUAGAGUGGCGCACGGCCUUUUUAACACGUAGGUAAUCUACCUUCGGAUGGGGAAUAACAAUCGGAAACGAUUGCUAAUACCGCAUAAUGCAGCGGCACCUAAUGGUGACAGUUGUUAAAGCGGGGGAUCGAAAGACCUCGCGUCUGAAGAGGAGCCUGCGGCGGAUUAGCUAGUUGGUAAGGUAAUGGCUUACCAAGGCGACGAUCCGUAACCGGCCUGAGAGGGCGGUCGGUCACACUGACACUGACAUACGGGUCAGACUCCUACGGGAGGCAGCAGUCGGGAAUUUUGGGCAAUGGGCGAAAGCCUGACCCAGCAACGCCGCGUGAAGGAUGAAAUCCCUCGGGAUGUAAACUUCGCAAGAACGGGAAGAAUAAGUCUAUGUAAAUACCAUAGAUGAUGACGGUACCGUUUGUAAGCUCCGGCUAACUCCGUGCCAGCAGCCGCGGUAAUACGGGGGGAGCAAGCGUUGUUCGGAUUUACUGGGCGUAAAGGGCGCGUAGGCGGUCAGCACAAGUCAGUUGUGAAAUCUCCGAGCUUAACUCGGAAAGGUCAACUGAUACUGUGCGACUAGAGUGCAGAAGGGGCAACUGGAAUUCUUGGUGUAGCGGUGAAAUGCGUAGAUAUCAAGAGGANCACCUGCNGCGAANGCGGGUUGCUGGGCUGACACUGACGCUGANGCGCGAAAGCUANGGGAGCGAACGGGAAUUAGAUACCCCCGGUAGUNCCUAGCCUUAAACGAUGAAUGCU